UACGUAGGGUGCAAGCGUUAAUCGGAAUUACUGGGCGUAAAGCGUGCGCAGGCGGUUUUGUAAGUCUGUCGUGAAAGCCCCGGGCUCAACCUGGGAAUUGCAUUGGAGACUGCAAGGCUAGAAUCUGGCAGAGGGGGGUAGAAUUCCACGUGUAGCAGUGAAAUGCGUAGAGAUGUGGAGGAACACCGAUGGCGAAGGCAGCCCCCUGGGUCAAGAUUGACGCUCAUGCACGAAAGCGUGG
rnacentral:rRNA from 1 species